UGCUGACUGUGUGAUGACCACACUUUUUUCCCCAUCAGAUCGAUAAUGUUGAUUUGUGAUGCUUUUAAGCCAGUUUUGUCUGAUCGUCAGCA
rnacentral:snoRNA from 1 species